rnacentral:lncRNA from 1 species
GUUAAAAUGUCUUGCACAUGCUUUCUACUGUAGCCAGAGAUCAAGAAAGAUCUUGCUUUCCUGUUUGAAUUCUCCUCGAGCAGCUUCUUAAGCUGCACUGUUAGAACUUGUGUCUUCACUGAGCUCCUGUGCUAAAGGACCUGGUGGAUUUCCUUUUGUCUGGAAUGUUCUCCAUGGCAAUGUGGAGCUGCUCUAUCCCAGCAGCUUUGCCUGUGACCUCUCUUGAAAACCUCGCUGGUGUUUGUUCUUCACACCUGGCAGGUGCUCAGCAAGUCCCAGCUGAAGGCUGUGUCUUUCGUGCUGCAGAUCUCGAGAUGCACAGCACGGAGUGUGGUGUGUGGGAGGCUCUGUGAUUGAGCUGCUGGUUUAAAUUUUCUCUUACCUCUUGCUGUAUCCAGGAUUUGUUUUCCUGCUGAUGAUUUGUGUACUUUUGGCCAUAUUGGAAUGACAAGACAGUGACAUCUGGUGACCAGCUCUGUGCAUUGACUUUAUUUUUUGAUUCUUUCCCAUUAAGAAAAUUCUGGUAAUUCUGUAAAAAAUCCACUAAUAAAGAGAAAACCUCAUAAAGAC